rnacentral:ncRNA from 1 species
UGUUGGCUGGACUGUUGGAAUACUGUUGCAAUCUGAAAGAUUGUGGUUAUCUUACUAGGGUGGUAUAUUCAUGGUUAGGUUGUAUUUUGUUGAUUUUGGGAGCGCGAGGUAAUAAUUAAGUGGGACAGGCGAAGGCAUUCGUACUGUGCCGUUAGAGGUGAAAUUAUUGGAUCGGCGCAAGAUGAACCACUGCGAAAGCAUUUGCCAAGAAUGUUUUCUUUAAUCAAGAGCAAAAGUCAGAUGUUCGAAGUAUAUUUAUGGUUAGCCCUGUACGAAAAAAACAAACAAACAGUACUUUAUUGAAAGCGAAGCGAGUUACUGGAUAAUCAUUGCAUUUUCUUAAGAAUUUUCAUUUUCCU